rnacentral:rRNA from 1 species
UACAGAGGUCUCGAGCGUUAGGCGGAAUCACUGGGCUUAAAGCGUGUGUAGGUGGAUCGGUAAGUACCUUGUGAAAUCCCACGGCUUAACCGUGGAACUGCUUGGUAUACUGCCAGUCUUGAGCCAGCUAGGGGCUACCGGAACAAAUGGUGGAGCGGUGAAAUGCGUAGAUAUCUGGAGGAACACCGGUGGCGAAGGCGGCAUCCUGGACCAAUAUUGACGCUGAGGCGCGAAAGCUAGGGGAGCAAACGGG